rnacentral:lncRNA from 13 species
GUCCAUAGACUAAAAUGACUCACCCUGUAUUACAUUAUUCUAAUCAAAGAUAAUGGAAAAUAAUUGAAAUUUAAUAUUUCAGAUGCUAUUUAUCAUCAUAAAUUUGAUGUAAAAGAGGACUAUAUAUUAAAAAAAAUUUGAAUUUGACUUGCCAACGCACCUACUCGUCAGGCUCGAGAAAACAUGAAGAAACAAAUUUAGUAGUGAAAAACAAAACAUCGCAGAAAGAAGACACCGACAUUCUCGUCCUUUCGGGGAAUGAAACUGAAAGUUAAGAGAAAAAAUUAUAUCAAUGUUAUUUCUUUUUAUUCUAAAUAUUAUAUGAAUGCGUUAUUUUUUUUAUAUCUGAUAUUAUAUUAAUGCGUUAUUUUUUUCAAUGUCAAUAUUACAUCUAACAAUUUUUAAAAUAAUAAUAAUAAAAAUGAAAAAAAU